GAUUUUGAUCAAUUCCAUGGAGAUCAAUGUUUUCGCAAGCCUUUGGCUUAACAACUAGGAAGAUACGGGUGAACAAGGAGAAAAAUAUUAUCCUUUACUGCAGAGGAGAUAUAUGAUAUAACUUUAAUUUAGGAUUGAACUUGCAAAAAAGUUUCUUUUCCAAAGGAGUCCCGGCCAAUACUGAACAUUCAAACUUGGCUUACUCAUGAACUGCUCAAAACCUAAGCUAAAUAAUUAUUUGCGCGAACAUCUAGAAUACUGUAUAUUCUGUCAUGUGUUGAAUUGAAACAUUCAUCAUUCUCUCACAGCACCAACCUCAACUGACAUUGGCGAAGGCAGCAAAAGAAAGAACCCUUUAGUUGUGCCGAUGAAGAAAAUCUUUUGUUGCUCCAAUGAAGUAGUGGAAUUACCAACUGGACAGGGUAAAUCAUUGAAGGUAAAGCAAGUCUCUGCUGCAUUUCACUUUUGGCUUUUUGGCUUGUACAUACUGUUGAGCUAUAACUUAAG